UAAUUCCCCUUACAUCAUUUUGACUUCCACAUAUUACAAGGCUGAGAUGCCAAAAUGUUUAUGUUUUCAUUAAGUUAGGGUUUUUAUCACCGUCUGCUCUUGACAGGAUCUGAGAAACAAUGCUAACCGUUUAAGAAGAAAACAGAGCAGAGUUCAUCUGAAGGAAACAGAAGGGUGAACCUUACUUUGGUGGCCACCAAUGAACCAUGAAUGAUGUCAUCCAUGACUGGUGUCAUUCCCUCCUUCUUCCACCUCUUCAACUUCCUAGCCUUGGUCAUGCAACUGGCUUUAGCCAAUGGGAUAUUAGCAAGAUUGGUGAAAGGAGAGGUUUGUCCCCUUGGAAUGUGUGCUUUGGGGAUACACCUUCUCAAAACCCAGUCACCAUGCUAUGAGAAGACCAAAUUAACCACAUGAGGAGAAUGGAGGUCCUCACCAAGAGUCCCAGUCAAGCUCCCACCAACAGCCAACAUCAACUCACUAGUGAACCACCUUGGAAGAAAAUCCUCUAGCCCCACUUGAACCUCUCCAGAUGAGCCAUGGCAGCCAAUGUGACACAAAGCAGAGAUGAGCUGAUCCUGCUAAAUCCUGUCCAUUGCAGAAUAAUGAAUAAAUCAAUAAAUGUCAUUUUAAAUCAUU